CAAGGCGACGACGGGUAGCCGGCCUGAGAGGGCGACCGGCCACACUGGGACUGAGACACGGCCCAGACUCCUACGGGAGGCAGCAGUGGGGAAUAUUGCGCAAUGGGCGAAAGCCUGACGCAGCGACGCCGCGUGAGGGAUGAAGGCCUUCGGGUUGUAAACCUCUUUCAGCAGGGACGAAGCGAAAGUGACGGUACCUGCAGAAGAAGCACCGGCCAACUACGUGCCAGCAGCCGCGGUAAUACGUAGGGUGCAAGCGUUGUCCGGAAUUAUUGGGCGUAAAGAGCUCGUAGGCGGCCUGUCGCGUCGGCUGUGAAAACUCAGGGCUCAACCCUGAGCCUGCAGUCGAUACGGGCAGGCUAGAGUCCGGCAGGGGAGACUGGAAUUCCUGGUGUAGCGGUGAAAUGCGCAGAUAUCAGGAGGAACACCGGUGGCGAAGGCGGGUCUCUGGGCCGGAACUGACGCUGAGGAGCGAAAGCGUGGGGAGCGAACAGGAUUAGAUACCCUGGUAGUCCACGCCGUAAACGUUGGGCGCUAGGUGUGGGGAACCUUCCACGGCCUCCGUGCCGCAGCUAACGCA
rnacentral:rRNA from 1 species